GAUGAACGCUGGCGGCGUGCCUAAUACAUGCCAGUCGAGCGAACAGACGAGGAGCUUGCUCCUCUGACGUUAGCGGCGACGGGUGAGUAACACGUGGAUAACCUACCUAUAAGACUGGGAUAACUUCGGGAAACCGGAGCUAAUACCGGAUAAUAUAUUGAACCGCAUGGUUCAAUAGUGAAAGACGGUUUUGCUGUCACUUAUAGAUGGAUCCGCGCCGCAUUAGCUAGUUGGUAAGGUAACGGCUUACCAAGGCAACGAUGCGUAGCCGACCUGAGAGGGUGAUCGGCCACACUGGAACUGAGACACGGUCCAGACUCCUACGGGAGGCAGCAGUAGGGAAUCUUCCGCAAUGGGCGAAAGCUUGACGGAGCAACGCCGCGUGAGUGAUGAAGGUCUUCGGAUCGUAAAACUCUGUUAUUAGGGAAGAACAAAUGUGUAAGUAACUAUGCACGUCUUGACGGUACCUAAUCAGAAAGCCACGGCUAACUACGUG
rnacentral:rRNA from 1 species